AAGACAAUCAUGGAUAAAGGCAGCCAUUAUCCAUUCUACACACCAAGAAGAUAACUGUAGUGGCUAUCCCUGGUUGUCAAUUUGACUAUAUUUGGAAUGAACUAUAAUCCAGAAUUGGAAGGCUCACCAGUGAUCCUAACCUGGAGGCUGGGAGAUAGAAGUUUCUGGUCUGGAUCUUGGUAUGGAGAUCUUGAAGCAUAGUGGCUAUGAAUUCCAGAAGAUUAAGACAGGGAGAUCUCUGAGUUCAAGGUCAUCUGGGAUUAAAGGUGUGGUGGCACACACCUUUAAUCUAGGCUACACCUUCUGCUGGAGACCAUACUAGGACAUUGGAAGAAGGGAGACUCACUCUCACUCUUUUGCCUGCUUGCCGUGUGGGACUGAGCAACUGCUAGAUCCUUGGACUUCCAUUCACAGCUACUACUGAACCAUUGUUGGGAAUUGUACUGCAGACUAUGGUUGUAAGCCACCAUGUGGUUGCUGGGAUUUGAACUCGGGACCUCCAGAAGAGCAGUCGGUGCUCUUACCCGCUAAGCCAUCUCAUCAGCCCGAGGACGUCUUUUAUGGAGGACAUAAAUCACCCAACAGAAACAAACUUAGAGGAAAAGGUUUUUUUUUUGUUUGUUUGUUUGUUUGUUUCUGGCGCAUGGAUUCAGAAGGCUGCAUUCUGUCCAUCGUUGCUUGGCUCUAUUGCAUCUAGAUCCACCAUGAGGAAGACUUUGCUAGUGUGUAGAAGAGGAGGCUCUUUACCCAUAUAGAGCUUUCAAAACUCCACACGAAGUAACCUAUUUCUUCCUGCAAGGCCCGGAGUUUCCAGAACCGUCCAAAUUAGGAUCAUCACCAGAUGCAAACCAAGCCUCCAGUGUAUGAGCUCAUAGGGAGACAUCAUGGGCAUUUCAUAUUUAGACCACAACAUUUUUAGUCGCUCUUCAGGCUCAGUGAUGGAGACGAGGCAGUUUAGGGGUGGAAGCACCAUGUAUUAUUGUGAGAUUUUCCUUAAAAAAAAAAACAACAACAACAAC
rnacentral:lncRNA from 1 species